UACGUAGGGACCGAGCGUUGUCCGGAUUCAUUGGGCGUAAAGAGCUCGUAGGCGGCUGUUCAAGUCGAACGUGAAAUCCCCGAGCUCAACUCGGGAACUGCGUCCGAUACUGGCGGGCUUGAAUCCGGGAGAGGGAUGCGGAAUUCCAGGUGUAGCGGUGAAAUGCGUAGAUAUCUGGAGGAACACCGGUGGCGAAGGCGGCAUCCUGGACCGGCAUUGACGCUGAGGCGCGAAAGCUAGGGGAGCAAACGGGG
rnacentral:rRNA from 1 species